rnacentral:lncRNA from 1 species
CACUGUGUCUGAGAUAUUCAGGAAAAUUACCGAGAAUGGAAACCAACUAUAAAACUUAAUGUAAUUGAGUUAGUAGAAAAAUGAAUUAAAUUACAUUCAUAUCAAAAGUUAAACUAAAACCAUUGCUAUGCAUCGUUAUUUAAAAAGGGAAAAAUCCCAAACCCUAUCCUUUUAUAUAUUAACACACACUUCCUAAGGGGAGCUACUGCGUGCCUCAUUUCCAGCAAUGGGGCGUGGCCUAGGAAAUCCAGAUUCCCACUCUCCUUAAAAACAUAUAUUAAAUAACUAUGAUCUGUACCAAUACAAAUAUUGUAUAUAUUCAUGCACUGUGAUUAUGUUCAUAGUAGCUUACACCAAGGCACAAUUUUUGUGUCAUUCCCCACCCCUUUUCCCUUACAUCCAGGCAUGCAGUGCUAGAGAUGCUUGCUGUUCAAAAAACUUCUGUGGGAUUUGUCUCUCAUGUGAUUUUCACAGUAGAGGACACAGAAGUUUUUCCAGCUUAGAUUUAAAAAUAAAUAAGUAAAAGAAGGUAAAGGCUUUAGUUUGACAUCUGGCACCAAAUCACACCAACUCAUUUUAAAUGCCUUAACCCUCUCUCCAGUCUCCAGAGAGCAUGUCAUGAAGGUGAUCUAAUUACAGUUGGUAGGUCACACUGUAAUAUAUUAGCUAGGAUGACAAAAUUGUUCCUUCUGUAAAUCUUAAUUCCUGUGACAGCUGUAGUGUUUUGAUUUGUCAUGAAGGAUCAUCAAGUCUAAAUCAGUUCCUAACUCGCAUCUCAGCAUAGCACCAUUUACGUUAUCUGCUAUGUAGUGCAUGUAAUUGAAGUACCUAGGUAUGCUCAUUAAAAUAAAUGCAUAAUUUAGCUGUAUAUAAACAGCUGCCAAAAUGAACAGCUGUUAACCUGGCUGUAUUUUGAAGGCUUGUAAAACUUGCAUAUUUUAUAACUGUCCUGCAUCUGUAAGAGGCUUGGUCCCACAAAUAGCUGGGCAUGUGCUCAUCUUCAAGGAUUUGAAGAAUCUCAUGAGAUUAUAAUGAAUGAAGCUACCUGUGGGCCUUCAGGAGCACUGCAGGUUGUGCCUCGGACAGGUAGCUGGCCAGCCAUUAGUCAUGUGAGUGGUGUCAAGGAAGACAGGGCUGGAUUGACUAAUGCUGACUGGGCUUAGGCACUAGAUGUAUUCCCUCAGAUGUUGAGCAUAUCUGAAAUUAGACCAAGUGUUUGUCAGGCUUGGAAAAAGUGGAAGUAUAUUACAGAUUGGCCUCUUAAAACAUGCCCUGAAGGAUGACAAAUGAAACCUGCGUGAUGUCUGCUUAUGUACAUAUUUAAUAGAAAAGAAAUCCUAAUCUAGAGUAUCAAAAUACUGUAUUCAUAUAAAUGUAGGAGAGCAUCUAAUAGAAAAGUAAAAAGAGUAAAACGCAAAUUUAUUUUGGGACUUACAUAUCCCAAAAGAGUUUUUCUUAAAAUCGGGAAUGUGUGUGCUACCAAAAAGUGAGGACUACAUCUCCCCUCGCCUCCGUGUUUUUGCUGCAGCAGCUCCACGUUCCUCCUCCUCCUCUUCUUCCUCCUCAUAAUUUUCUUCACGAACUUCCUUCUGAGGGUUGUUCUCGUCUUGCAUUUCUUGCUCUUGAUCUGUUUCCCCAUUAUUCUUUUCAUCUCCAUUUUCAUCAUUUUCACCAUAUGGCUCUUCAGCAUUGCGUUCCAGUUCUCGUUUCUUCUCCUCAGUCAAAUCUUCCUGAAUCUCUUCCUCGCCCUCUUCCUGAUACUGCUCAUCCACAUUAUCUUCCUGCUGGUCGGGAUUUCCUGCCAUCACUAGGUGCUCUUCCACUCCGGGAUGCCCUUGUUUCUCACUGUUCUGCUUGUGCUUCUCAUUUUCGUCUGGUAGAUUUUCUUCUCUCUCUUGUUCAGCCUCCUCAAAUUCAUCUUCUCCCUGAUUGUUAGGGUCAUCAGCAGGGUUCACAUCUUCCAUGGCUGCCCUUGGUUCAUCAGCCUGCUGAUUUUCUCCUUGAUGUUCUGGUUCGUGCUGUUCAUUUGCAUUGUUUUGAUCCUCAUCCUCACCUUCAUCCCGGUGCUGGUUGUCAUGUUCAUAAGCUCCUUCUUCUUCCUGAAUACCUUGCUCUUCUUCCCCUUGUACAAUAUCAUGGUCCAUGUUAUCAUAGCGAGCCUGCUGACUCAGUUGGUUCUUAUAGAAUUUUUCUCCUUGCUCUGCCUCUCUCUGUAGCUGAAGCUCUUUUUCUUGAAGCUGUUGCUGCCGUAAUAGCUGCGUUUGCAGUCUUUGCUGGUGCAGCGAUUCCUGAUGUUCCCUGAGCUGAUUGGCUUCCUCUGCUCUUUGGGCUGCAAGCUGUUGCUGCUCCAGUUGC